GUUAAAAUGGCUGAAAUAGUAGGUAAUAAAUUGUAAAUUUAUUUAUGAAGUAAUAAUUUGACUUCUUUUAACA
rnacentral:tRNA from 1 species